UAAAGCAGCUCGAGGUUACGCUCAUGAUCUGUUGCAGCGAAAAUGCACAACAUGACAGAAAAAAGCCCUGCGUAUAGUCUGCACGAGGAUUUUUUUCAUCACGGAAAAGGCAGAGAAUAAUUGAAGAGUGUUGUUGUGCUGUUGUGCUACAGUUCCUCCCCACAGGUUUCCAGGGUUGACGCACUCACUGCCUGUCACAUCGCCUGUCACAGCUCACCCAGGACACAGGCUCCCCGACUUGUCCAGAUAUUUAGCUGCUAGAUGUCUGGACACGUCAGCGAGGCCUCGUAAGUGUCUACACUAGCCCGGUGUAUAAAGCACAUCAGUACCACUGCCAAGCGUCUGGAGCGGUCCAGACCUGACACACAAAAGAAAAGAAAAACAGAUGUUGAAUGUAAUUUGAGCUGUUCCGUGUGACCAGUUGGUGCCAGUCUGUUUUCCAUCAAGGACUGACUUUGAAAAUGACACGCAACUGACCAAAGCCUUCACUGCCACCUCGAAAACGAGGCCAUUACUCUGCCUAUUGAUAUUCCACCUUCAUGUGGAGGCUGUGGUGGCUGAAUACUAAAGAGAGAGCCAGGCUGUGAUGUGGAGAACGCACGCAGGUCUCAAUCACCUCCCCAGAGACACCAGGUGCCUCUACGAACAAGGGAAGAAGAGGAGACUUGGACUUUAUUCAUUGAUACCGCCCACCGAGGUAAAGAGUUUGAAAUGGGUGGAAUUACAGGAUCAAUAGUGUGAUUAGCAGAGGCCUUGUAGCUAUAGCAUGCUGUUGGUAAUCCAUUGCAUCAAGCUAAACCCAUGGGGAAAGUGGGGCCGUGGCUCCUUCCAAGCAUGCAGGCGGAGGCGUGAGGUCUAACCAGGGACAGAUGCAGUAAGCCUUUAACAUAGACAGCAGCAUCUGUUUUGCCAAAACAUAAAUGGCACAUGUUUUCUACAUGUAAUUGCUAAUUUUAAACACUUAAAAUAGUGUGCUUAAGUGCUUGGAAAUUAAACCAGGACAUAAAAUGGCACGUGUGAAGCCAAGAAAAAAAGAAAGAGGGGAAACAGAAACUGAUAAAAAAGAUGCAGACAGAUGGCAGAUAUUAUGGGCUAUUUGAAUAAUGAAUAUGCAUUUGUUCUCUUAGGGGUCUUACUGUCAGAUUUGUUCUACUUUUCUGUUCAAAAAGCAAAUGAAAAACAAUAACUCUCCAGAUAAAAUCAGCCAUACUAAGAUGUGUAUACCGAGCACAACUGCACUGUCACACAACCCUAGGUGAUUCACACACAUCUGUGGAUAGUUUGCUCAGAAAUACAUUAUGCCCAUUAGUGGAUAUCAUGUCCAGUUUGUCCUACAAAAAUAAUUAAAAGCAAAGAAGCAACAUGUUUUAAGGUUCAGGUCUACCUGCUGCUAAUUGUUUUAAUUUUUAUCCUAUCUAUCCAUAAAUGUUCAUAUAUAUUGCCGGAUAUGUCUUCUGUAUACAGAA